rnacentral:rRNA from 1 species
GACGAACGCUGGCGGCGUGGAUUAGGCAUGCAAGUCGAACGCGAAAGAGGGGGAAACCCCUCGAGUAGAGUGGCGAACGGGUGAGUAACGCGUGAAGAACCUGCCCUCAGCAGGGGGAUAACACUCCUAACGGGGUGCUAAUACCGCAUGAGACCACGAGUCCAUAUGAACUUGAGGUCAAAGGUGGCCUCUGCUUGCAAAGCUACCGGCUGAGGAUGGCUUCGCGUCCCAUAGCUAGUUGGCGGUGUAACGGACCACCAAGGCGACGAUGGGUAGCUGGUCUGAGAGGAUGGUCAGCCACACUGGGACUGAGAUACGGCCCAGACUCCUACGGGAGGCAGCAGUGGGGAAUUUUGCGCAA